GUGGGUAUAGCUCAGUGGUAGAGCGCAUGCUUAGCAUGCAUGAGGGCCUGGGUUCAAUCCCUAGUACCUCCA
rnacentral:tRNA from 1 species